UUGGAGGGCAAGUCUGGUGCCAGCAGCCGCGGUAAUUCCAGCUCCAAUAGCGUAUAUUAAAGUUGUUGCAGUUAAAAAGCUCGUAGUUGAAUUUCGGGACCAAUUUGUUGGUCGUGCCUCGGUACGUACUGGUAUUAUUGGUUUCUCCCUUCUGAAGAACCUUGAUGUCAUUAAUUUGGUGUCUUGGGGAAUCAGGACUGUUACUUUGAAAAAAUUAGAGUGUUUAAAGCAGGCAUACGCUUGAAUACAUUAGCAUGGAAUAAUGAAAUAGGACGUUCGAUUCUAUUUUGUUGGUUUCUAGGAUCGACGUAAUGAUUAAUAGGGAUAGUUGGGGGCAUUAGUAUUCAAUUGUCAGAGGUGAAAUUCUUGGAUUUAUUGAAGGCUAACUACUGCGAAAGCAUUUGCCAAGGAUGUUUUCAUUAAUCAAGAACGAAAGUUAGGGGAUCGAAGACGAUCAGAUACCGUCGUAGUCUUAACCAUAAACUAUGCCGACUAGGGAUCGGAUGAUGUUAAUUUUUUAAUGACUCAUUCGGCACCUUACGGGAAAC
rnacentral:rRNA from 1 species